rnacentral:snRNA from 1 species
GGGCGAGAGUAGUACUAG